AGAACGAACGCUGGCGGCAUGCCUAACACAUGCAAGUCGAACGCUCUCUUCGGUGGGAGUGGCGCACGGGUGAGUAGCGCGUGGGAACCUGCCCUGUUGUGGGGGAUAACCGAGGGAAACUUCGGCUAAUACCGCAUGCGCCCGGGGAAACCCGGGGAAAGAUUUAUCGCAGCAGGAGGGGCCCGCGUCGGAUUAGGUAGUUGGUAGGGUAACGGCCUACCAAGCCUUUGAUCCGUAGCUGGUCUGAGAGGAUGAUCAGCCACACUGGGACUGAGACACGGCCCAGACUCCUACGGGAGGCAGCAGUGGGGAAUAUUGGACAAUGGGCGCAAGCCUGAUCCAGCAAUGCCGCGUGAGUGAUGAAGGCCUUAGGGUUGUAAAGCUCUUUCGCCCGCGACGAUGAUGACGGUAGCGGGAGAAGAGCCCCGGCUAACUUCGUGCCAGCAGCCGC
rnacentral:rRNA from 1 species